AACACAAAUUGUACUUUUCAGUAAUCUGGGAAGUAUGCUUGGUUGAGGGUCAUUAAAAUAACAUUCGUGAAUUUUUUUGCGGAUUUGAGUUUUCCAGUAUUUAUAACAUAAAAAUGUUGGUAACUUUAAAAUUAUUAUUACUUGGUACAAGUUGAAGACGUUCUAUAUGUGUGGUUCGCUGACAACUUGUCCAUCUUUAUAUAUUAUGCGCGCACUUGGUUUUUUUAAUGCUUUGUGCGAGUAUAUAUUUUUUUUAUGACCUCAGCUCAAGUAAGAAUACCCGCUGAACUUAA
rnacentral:misc_RNA from 1 species